rnacentral:rRNA from 1 species
AUGAACGCUGGCGGCGUGCCUAAUACAUGCAAGUCGAGCGAACGGACGAGAAGCUUGCUUCUCUGAUGUUAGCGGCGGACGGGUGAGUAACACGUGGAUAACCUACCUAUAAGACUGGGAUAACUUCGGGAAACCGGAGUUAAUACCGGAUAAUAUUUUGAACCGCAUGGUUCAAAAGUGAAAGACGGUCUUGCUGUCACUUAUAGAUGGAUCCGCGCUGCAUUAGCUAGUUGGUAAGGUAACGGCUUACCAAGGCAACGAUGCAUAGCCGACCUGAGAGGGUGAUCGGCCACACUGGAACUGAGACACGGUCCAGACUCCUACGGGAGGCAGCAGUAGGGAAUCUUCCGCAAUGGGCGAAAGCCUGACGGAGCAACGCCGCGUGAGUGAUGAAGGUCUUCGGAUCGUAAAACUCUGUUAUUAGGGAAGAACAUAUGUGUAAGUAACUGUGCACAUCUUGACGGUACCUAAUCAGAAAGCCACGGCUAACUACGUG